rnacentral:rRNA from 1 species
UACGAAGGGGGCUAGCGUUGUUCGGAAUUACUGGGCGUAAAGCGCACGUAGGCGGCUUUGUAAGUUAGAGGUGAAAGCCCAGGGCUUAACCCUGGAAUUGCCUUUAAGACUGCAUCGCUAGAAUUGUGGAGAGGUAAGUGGAAUUCCGAGUGUAGAGGUGAAAUGCGCAGAUAUCAGGAAGAACACCCGUGGCGAAAGCGGCUCUCUGGAACGGUACUGACGCUGAGACGCGAAAGCGUGGGGAGCGAACAGG